AGGGAUCAUUACCGAGUUCGUGCCCCCCAGCGGGGUAGAUCUCCCACCCCUGUGUAUUCUUACCUGUGUUGCUUUGGCAGGCCGCUGGGUUGCGGCCUGGCCACCGGCCUUUGGGCUGGUGCGUGCCUGCCAGAGACCCUUCAAACUCUGGUUUAUCUAGUGUUGUCUGAGUACCAUGCAAAUCGUUAAAAACUUUCAACAACGGAUCUCUUGGUUCUGGCAUCGAUGAAGAACGCAGCGAAAUGCGAUAAGUAAUGUGAAUUGCAGAAUUCAGUGAAUCAUCGAAUCUUUGAACGCACAUUGCGCCCUUUGGUAUUCCGAGGGGCAUGCCUGUUCGAGCGUCAUUUCAACCCUCAAGCUCUGCUUGGUAUUGGGCUUCGCCGUCGUGUGGCGGGCCUUAAAAUCAGUGGCGGUGCCGUCUCGGCUCCAAGCGCAGUAG
rnacentral:misc_RNA from 1 species